CCUGUUCGAGCGUCAUUUAAACCCUCAAGCUCAGCUUGGUGUUGGGGCCUGCCCACCGGCAGCCCUUAAAAUCAGUGGCGGUGCAUCUGGCUCUAAGCGUAGUAAUUUCUCUCGCUAUAGGGUCCCGGUGGAGACUUGCCAAAACCCCCAAUUUUUCUAUGGUUGACCUCGGAUCAGGUAGGGAUACCCGCUGAACUUAA
rnacentral:misc_RNA from 1 species